AGCGAACGCUGGCGGCAGGCUUAACACAUGCAAGUCGAGCGGGCCCUUCGGGGUCAGCGGCAGACGGGUGAGUAACACGUGGGAACGUACCCUUUGGUUCGGAAUAACGCUGGGAAACUAGCGCUAAUACCGGACACGCCCUUUUGGGGAAAGGCUUGCUGCCGAAGGAUCGGCCCGCGUCUGAUUAGCUAGUUGGUGGGGUAAUGGCCUACCAAGGCGACGAUCAGUAGCUGGUCUGAGAGGAUGAUCAGCCACACUGGGACUGAGACACGGCCCAGACUCCUACGGGAGGCAGCAGUGGGGAAUAUUGGACAAUGGGCGCAAGCCUGAUCCAGCCAUGCCGCGUGAGUGAUGAAGGCCUUAGGGUUGUAAAGCUCUUUUGUCCGGGACGAUAAUGACGGUACCGGAAGAAUAAGCCCCGGCUAACUUCGUG
rnacentral:rRNA from 1 species